GACGAACGCUGGCGGUGUGCUUAACACAUGCAAGUCGAACGGUAAGGCCCUUUCGGGGGUACACGAGUGGCGAACGGGUGAGUAACACGUGAGUAACCUGCCCUCAUCUCUGGGAUAACAGUCGGAAACGGUUGCUAAUACUGGAUAUGAGCUUGCAAGGCAUCUUGUGGGUUGGAAAGAUUUUUUUUGGUUGGGGAUGGACUCGCGGCCUAUCAGCUUGUUUGUGAGGUAGUGGCUCACCAAGGCUUCGACGGGUAGCCGGCCUGAGAGGGCGACCGGCCACAUUGGGACUGAGAUACGGCCCAAACUCCUACGGGAGGCAGCAAUGGGGAAUAUUGCACAAUGGACGGAAGUCUGAUGCAGCAACGCCGCGUGCGGGAUGACGGCCUUCGGGUUGUAAACCGCUUUCAAUUGUGACGAAGCUUUUUUGUGACGGUAGCAGUAGAAGAAGCACCGGCUAACUACGUG
rnacentral:rRNA from 1 species